rnacentral:rRNA from 1 species
GACGAACGCUGGCGGCGUGCCUAAUACAUGCAAGUCGAACGCUUUUUCUUUCACCGGAGCUUGCUCCACCGAAAGAAAAAGAGUAGCGAACGGGUGAGUAACACGUGGGUAACCUGCCCAUCAGAUGGGGAUAACACUUGGAAACAGGUGCUAAUACCGUAUAACACUAUUUUCCGCAUGGAAGAAAGUUGAAAGGCGCUUUUGCGUCACUGAUGGAUGGACCCGCGGUGCAUUAGCUAGUUGGUGAGGUAACGGCUCACCAAGGCAACGAUGCAUAGCCGACCUGAGAGGGUGAUCGGCCACACUGGGACUGAGACACGGCCCAGACUCCUACGGGAGGCAGCAGUAGGGAAUCUUCGGCAAUGGACGAAAGUCUGACCGAGCAACGCCGCGUGAGUGAAGAAGGUUUUCGGAUCGUAAAAACUCUGUUGUUAGA